rnacentral:sRNA from 1 species
GGUGCGUGGAAUUCCACGCGAGUGCCGGGGAAUUCCUGGGGAGCCGGGCUUCUGCUUUGGCUCCCAGCGUGUUGACCGAGCCCGCUUCGCACAGCCCUUCCUAGGGUGUGGAGAGCGGGCCCCGCCCUGAAGGGGCACCGUGGGCUGGGGGGCCUGUUUUGGAGCAGGCACCUGUGGCCGAACUCCGUGACCAUGAAGGUCAAGGUCAUCCCCGUGCUCGAGGACAACUAUAUGUACCUGGUCAUCGAGGAGCUCACGCGCGAGGCGGUGGCCGUGGACGUGGCCGUGCCCAAGAGGGUGAGGGCAGGCCGCGGGCGGCAGGGACCCGGCCGUGCCCCCCGAGAGCCUCCCCGACCCCCCUGCUGCUGGAGAUCGUGGGCAGGGAGGGGGUGUCUCUGACCGCUGUGCUGACCACCCACCAUCACUGGUGAGCGCCGGCGGGGCGGGGGGAGCCACGAGGACGCCGCCUUGUCCCAGCCCAACCUAACUCGGCCCCCGCCCGCCUGCAGGGACCACGCGCGGGGAAACCCGGAGCUGGCGCGGCUGCGUCCCGGGCUGGC